UUUUUCCUAGGUGUACACCUAGGAGUGGAAUUGCUGAGUCAUAUAAUAUGGAAUGGGGCAAAGCAAGAAAAGAGGACUCUGUGGGAGUGCAUUGGAAUUGGAGGCUGGCUGAGAACUUUACAUGGAUUCUCUCCUGAACCCAAGAGCUGUCCCUCAACUACAGAUGAAUCCUGGUCCAUGGUGCAUUCCCUCAGUGGUAGGUUUUAUUGUGAGUCCAGCUCUUCUCUUUGAUAGGUCCUGUGUCUCCUGGAAAGCCCCUGCUCCAAUACCCCA